rnacentral:rRNA from 1 species
UACAGAGGUGGCAAGCGUUGUUCGGAAUUACUGGGCGUAAAGGGCGCGUAGGCGGUCUUGCAAGUCCCGUGUGAAAUCCCUCGGCUCAACUGAGGAAUGGCACGGGAAACUGCUUGGCUUGAGUUCGGGAGAGGGAAGCGGAAUUCCGGGUGUAGCGGUGAAAUGCGUAGAUAUCGGGAGGAACAUCAGUGGCGAAGGCGGCCCUCUGGUCCAGUACUGACACUCAAGUGCGAAAGCGUGGGGAGCAAACAGGG